rnacentral:rRNA from 1 species
AACGAACGCUGGCGGCAUGCCUAACACAUGCAAGUCGAACGAGACCUUCGGGUCUAGUGGCGCACGGGUGCGUAACGCGUGGGAACCUGCCUUUAGGUUCGGAAUAACUCAGAGAAAUUUGAGCUAAUACCGGAUGAUGUCUUCGGACCAAAGAUUUAUCGCCUUUAGAUGGGCCCGCGUUGGAUUAGCUAGUUGGUGGGGUAAAGGCCUACCAAGGCGACGAUCCAUAGCUGGUCUGAGAGGAUGAUCAGCCACACUGGGACUGAGACACGGCCCAGACUCCUACGGGAAGCAGCAGUGGGGAAUAUUGGAAAAUGGGCGAAAGCCUGAUCCAGCAAUGCCGCGUGAGUGAUGAAGGCCUUAGGGUUGUAAAGCUCUUUUACCCGAGAUGAUGAUGACAGUAUCGGGAGAAUAAGCUCCGGCUAACUCCGUG